UCGGAAUUUUAAUUAAAUUAUCACAAAAAAUGUAAACAAAACACACGCAUGAGCAGAACGGACUUGACAGCCUCUUUAAAUGAUUCCUAUAAUGACAUCGAGAUUUUUUGGCAUCUCGCUCGAUAGGACUACUGUAACAGUUGAAGGGUUUUUGUAACUGGAAAUUUCAAGUGGAAGUUUAUAUACAAUUUCAGACCUAACCAGGAGCAGUUGCGAAAAAUGCAACACACUAUAUAUGACAGGAACCGAACCUGCGACCCACGGAUUCCGGGACAGAGCUCUCACCAACUGAGCUGCAGAGUCUAGUUGUCCGGCUCUGACCGCAAGUUCAUGUAUAUAUGGUGCAGUGCUUUGACCAGCAAGCUACAAAGCGCAGUUGCCAAGAGCUAACCACAAUUUUAUGUAUAUAUUUGGAUGUGCCAAUGUGUGGUGCAAGGGUAAAUCAGUUCUUGGCAACUGGACUCUGUAAUUCAGUGGUUAGAGCCCUGCACCGGAAUCUCACUUAUCUCAGGUCCGCAGGUUCGAUUGCAAGGGACAAUGGGUGCAUUCAAUUUCGCAACUGUUCUCGGUUAAAAAUUGUAAAAAAUAUGUAUACAGCUUGUCGCUUGAAAUAACCCUUUCGAUAAUUACACGACAAGUCUUUCCUUGACCUGGGACGUUCGUAAGACUCGUGAGCGAAUUACCUUUCGUCUUCAUUCAAGAGAGCCAUGCUUCCAGGACGGUGUAAUGCAUUUAUACGAAACACACUGUCUGUUCUCUCCCGCGCAAAGCCCAAAAUUCCGCUAACUAGAAAUAGUAAUAGAAAACGCGAGGAACAUCCUCGCUUUUUCGCGCACGAAUACAUUUCUUUUUGGCUUGACUCUAAGCCAACCGAAAUCCUAUUAGCUUUUUCCCAAAAGAGAUCGCAGUGCAUAUUCUGGGAUCGUUUGGAGGGUCCGCAGUAAUUGGCUCACGCUGUUGCGGUCACCCUGCCUAUAGUCAUGUAUAUUAUUCUUGUUCUUGUUAUAGUUUUGUGUAUUGUAAUAUGGCGAAACUAAUAAAUAAAUAAAAAUAAAUAAAUAAAAUAUAUGGUGACAGGCGUCAAAUAUCAACUUUUUAGACAACCAAACGUGG